rnacentral:lncRNA from 1 species
CUUCUUAAAGCUCUAGCCAGUGGGAAAGCAUUUGUGUUUCUAUCCUUGGAGCUCCAAGUGGGACUUCUUAAAAGAUUUAUAAGGAGCAAAGCUGUCAGGAAAUCAGAAACAUCACAUGGACUCCAUGACUGGGAAAAACCUCGUGGUGGCCUGCUCUCAGUGCUUGGACGUGUGCUAGUUACAUCUCGGAGGUCUGAUUUUCUUAACUCGACCACGGUAAGAAGAUGCCCUCCAUCAGCGGGCUGUGCUUGCAGAUGUCGUGGGGCCUCUCUGGAGACUUCCCGAACCCUGUGGAUUUACAGUAAGAUGCAGUUUCCUGGGGAGUAAUUCUGGUGGAUACAAAUUCCGGAGUACUACACCUGGCUUGCCUGGAGAUGUUACAAGUAGUUGGUCGGAUUCUACAGCCUGGAUGCCCACUGAGAACAAGGACUGAAACUGAGAGGACUGUAUCUCUACCCUUGACUCAGUGGGAAUAUUUGCUGUCAUCUCUCGGGUUACCUGGAGCUCCCUCUAAAAUCAUACCCUUGAAGCGUUCCAGAAGGAUUUUGAGGUCCUUUCCUAAAUCAAAGGUGGAAUAUUUGGGGAUUUGGAAAAUUGAGAUGAGAAGCAUUGACUUAAGAGAUGCCAAGUAACUCAGCAGAUGUCACACAGACGAUAAAUAGCAAAGAUGGAAGUCUUCAUGCCGGAGGCAAUCCUAUAAGACAGCUGAGUUCUCCAGAGCUGGUAGGAGACAGACUUGCUCAGGUGAUAGAUCCAGCCAUGAUACUGACCCUAAGAGAAUGAGACACUCUGCAGAAGACUUAGAAGAUUCCUGAGACUGGGAAAGGUGCCUAGAAAUCCUGAGAAGAGUGAAGAAGCCAUUGGCAGAGCAGCCUUCCACAGCACUAUGAAAGACAUCCAACAGAGAGCAAGUUUCCACCUCACUUCCAGCUUGACUCCUCUUUUAUCUCCUAACUGCAGUAUGUGAUGUCUUCAGCAACGGUAUUAAUUAGUUCUGGGUACCUGGAGGCACAGCAGCCGUGUUGAACCUAUGAGGUGAUGAAAAACCAUGCAACUAGAAACC